GUAGGUGAACCUGCGGAAGGAUCAUUAUUGAUUGGUCGAAAGACCUUAUCAGAUUCUACCACCUCUGUGAACCGUUGACCUCCGGGUUAAUAAUCAAACAUCAGUGUAACGAACGUAAGAGUAUCUUAAUUAAACAAAACUUUUAACAACGGAUCUCUUGGCUCUCGCAUCGAUGAAGAACGCAGCGAAAUGCGAUAAGUAAUGUGAACUGCAGAAUUCAGUGAAUCAUCGAAUCUUUGAACGCACCUUGCGCCUUUUGGUAUUCCGAAAGGCAUGCCUGUUUCAGUGUCAUGAAAUCUCAAUCUAAUAUGUUUUCUGAACAUGUUAGGCUUGGACUUGGGUGUCUGCCAGCAAUGGCUCACCUCAAAUGACUUAGUGGAACAUCCCACAUCAGUGUUAGACGUAAUAAGUUUCGUCUCUCCUUGUGGUGAUGACUGCUCAAAACCUGCCAUCGCGCACCUUUUGACUUUGACCUGAAAUCAGGUAGGGCUACCCGCUGAACUUAAGCA
rnacentral:rRNA from 1 species